rnacentral:misc_RNA from 1 species
GACCAAUUGGAUCAUGCAUGAGUAUAGCCUCGAAUCAAAAGCAACGGUUUGUGCCACUUCCAUAUUUAUGCUACUGUAUACCAGAAACAGUCUUGUAAGUUUUAUUGUAUCCGCCUGAUCUCUAAUCUCAACAUAUUUGUUUUGCUCAGGAAUGGAGGCUUUGCAAGAUAAAGUACAAGGGAAAGCCAAGUAUGCAAGAAGAGAUGGAGAAUAUUAGGCAACGUUACUCAUCAAGGAACGAUUCUGAAGCUGCAGGCGGUUCAAUGAAUACCCAAACGGGUUCUGAUAGAGAACAAGAAAACCCUCCUCCUGCAGUAAGUUCAACAAUGCCAUUAGAAAAUGGAAAUCAUCAAACCUAUUACUGGAACAUGCAGCAGCUUCCACAAGCUCCAUAUGGUGAUCCUUAUCAAACUAAUGGUUACUAUUUCAACGAGCAGCAAGAGCAGUUGGAGCUCAGUGAACAACAAUUUUCUAGCCUUUGGUCUUGGCAGAAUUAGGCUUAAGUCAUUGUCAUGCAUGUAAUUUUCUUUUUCUCCGUACUGUGCUUUACUUGCCACGCGUAUGUGAAAAGGGGGUUUUGUU